CCUCUCCGCCGCGCGCCUCCUCGGGGGCGCGGGGCGAGCCUAGCAGUGGCGCCCGUGUUCCAGUCGAGCGGACUCCCGCCGAACUGGCCCGCGUGCGAUCGCUCGUGCUUUCGGAUGCAGAAUGCGAUGCCGGCGCGGGGGCCUCCGCCCCUGCGACCGCCCAUCUCGAGCCGCUCGUGCCCGAUAAGAACGACUUCCUCGCCCGUCUCGUCCCCUCGUCUCAUCGGCGUCGGGGAUCGUGCGGGUCGUGGUGUCGCCAAGGAAUGCUACCUGGUUGAUCCUGCCAGUAGUCA
rnacentral:misc_RNA from 1 species